GAAUAUUUCACAGAUGGUGAGAAGUAAACAAUGAUAGGGAGGAGAAGUUAGCACUGAUAAAAUGAAAUAUUAGCAGUGGGGAGAAGUUUAGUUUUUAUGGGUGGAAUGAAUAGCCCUGACAGGAGAGAGAUUAUCACAGAUAUCAAGUGAGGUUAGAACUGGAGAACCCCUGUUAAGGGAGAGAUUAUUAUUAUUGAUGAGGA